rnacentral:rRNA from 1 species
UACAGAGGGUGCAAGCGUUUAAUCGGAAUUACUGGGCGUAAAGCGUGCGUAGACGGUAGCGUAAGUCGGGUGUGAAAGCCCCGGGCUCAACCUGGGAAUUGCAUUCGAGACUGCUCUGCUAGGGUGCGGAAGAGGGAAGCGGAAUUUCCGGUGUAGCGGUGAAAUGACGUAGAUAUCGGAAGGAACACCAGUGGCGAAAGCGGCUUCCUGGUCCAGCACCGACGUCAGGCACGAAAGCGUGGGGAGCAAACAGG